rnacentral:lncRNA from 10 species
GGGGGUUGUUCAAGGGAUGGGGACGAUCAGGGUCUCUGGGAAGUGCUGACGUGUGCGCGUGUGCGGUGUGUUGCUUGUGGGUGCGUGUGUGGUGUGUGCAUGUGUGUGCGCGCGCGUGUGUGCGGGGUGUGCCGUGAGCGUGUGCCCGCGGUUCGGGGGAUGAGUAGGGGCGCUGACUUUUAGGACCAGCCAUUUGAGUCAAGCUGGAGACGACGUCUUAGAACCUAGGAUGAGUCUCGUUUGGUUUUAGUCUGCAAAGCUCGUCUGCAUCAGACAGGAAUUUUCCCCAGACGCGGGUGCACGUGAAUUAAUUCAUCAGAAGGCGGUUCACGGCCUGAGUGAGGGGGACGAGGGCGGCGAAUUCCUCCGCCUCAUUCCUACCCUGACGAUUCGAGAGUGGCUGUACCAUUUUGCAUUCCCAGACCGAAGUGUGAAAGCUCCAGAUGCCCCACGCCCUCACCAGCCCACGGUGUUGUCAGCCUUAAUAGUGCUGACCAUUCUGGUGGGUUUGCAGUGUAUCUCAUUGUGUUUUAAUUUGCAUUACCUUGACAACUAAUGGCGUUGAGACUUUCAUAUAUCUUUAGUAAAGAGUCCUUCCAAAUCCUCUGCCGAUUUUUUAAAAAUUGGGUUGUCUUCUUGUAAUUGAGUUGUAAGAAUUCUUUAUACGUUCUGAACAUGUUAUUUAUUGGAUAAAUGUUUCGCAAGUAUUUUCUCCCAGUCUUUGACCUACUUUUUCAUCUUCUUAUCAAGAGCUUUUAAAAAGCAAAACUUUACAUUUUGAUGACAUCCAAUUAUUACUUUUUUCUUUUAUGUUUUUUGUGUAUUAUUUAGGAAAUAAUUGUCUGAACCAAGAUUACAAAUAUUUUCUUGUCUUUCAGAAGUUUUGUGGUUUUAGCUCCUAAGUGUACAUCUGUGAUCCAUUUUGAAUUAAUUUUUGUAUAUGGUAUGAUGUAAUGGUCAAGGUUUUUAUUUUUGCAUAUGGAUAUACAGUUGUUCCAGUACCAUUUCUUGAAAAUAAUUACCAGUACCAUUAAGUUACCUUGGUACUUUUAUUGAAAAUCAAUUGACUCUCAGUUCUGACCCAUCGACUUAUAUGUCUGUUUUUUUUUGUUUUUUUUUUUUUUUUGAGAUGGAGUCUCACUCUGUUGCCCAGGCUGGAGUGCAGUGGUGCUGUCUGGGCUCACUGCAACCUCUGCUCCCAGGUUCAAGCGAUUCUCCUACCCCAGCCUCCUGAGUAGCUGGAAUUACAGGCAUGUGCCACCACACCCAGCUAAUUUUUGUAUUUUUAGUAGAGACGGAGUUUCACCAUGUUGGUUAGGCUGGUCUUGAACUCCUGACCUCGUGAUUCACCUGCCUCGGCCUCCCAAAGUGCUGGGAUUACAGGCGUGAGCCACCGUGCCUGGCCAUGUCUGUUCUUAUGCUAACAUCACAGUAUCUGGAUUAUUGUAGCUCCAUAAUGAAUGCUGGAAUCAG